rnacentral:rRNA from 1 species
GACGAACGCUGGCGGCGUGCCUAAUACAUGCAAGUCGAGCGCAGGAAAUCGACGGAACCCUUCGGGGGGAAGUCGACGGAAUGAGCGGCGGACGGGUGAGUGACACGUAAAGAACCUGCCCUCAGGUCUGGGAUAACCACGAGAAAUCGGGGCUAAUACCGGAUGGGUCAUCGGACCGCAUGGUCCGAGGAUGAAAGGCGCUUCGGCGUCGCCUGGGGAUGGCUUUGCGGUGCAUUAGCUAGUUGGUGGGGUAAUGGCCCACCAAGGCGACGAUGCAUAGCCGACCUGGGAGGGUGGUGGGCCACACUGGGACUGAGACACGGCCCAGACUCCUACGGGAGGCAGCAGUAGGGAAUCUUCCAAAAUGGACGAAAGUCUGAUGGAGCAACGCCGCGUGAACGAUGAAGGCCUUCGGGUCGUAAAGUUCUGUUGUAAGGGAAGAACAAGUGCCGCAGGCAAUGGCGGCACCUUGACGGUACCUUGCGAGAAAGCCACGGCUAACUACGUGCCAGCAGCCGCCGUAA